UCGAAUAAACCUGAUGGGUUGCUGCUGGCCCUGCACCGGGGGGCAUGUGCACGCCUGUCUUCUUUAUUUUUCCACCUGUGCACCAUUUGUAGGCUUGAAUAGCAUUUUAAUUGGCCAUUGGGUCAGCUUUGAGGAAUGCAGCUAUGGUUGCUAUCCUCUCCGAUAUUCAAGUCUAUGUUUUACUACACACCCAUUUUUAAACCCAGAAUGUAAUUUACGGGCCUCAAGUGUGCCUAAAACACUAUA
rnacentral:misc_RNA from 1 species